CUGAGUUGGAAGGGACUUUCAAGAUCAUUUAGUCCUGAAACCCCUUCCAUUUCCAGGGACACAUUCCAAUAGACCAGGUUGCUCAAAGUCCUGUCCAUCUCAGCACUAUUUAGAACCAAACUUUUCUUCUGAGUGGGUAGGUGCCUCCUUCAACUACAGCAGUAUCCUGUCAUAGACACCUGUGGAAGUUUUGGGGCUCUCCAAACCAUAGCAAGCACCUCACCAGGGGUGCCCAGGCUGUUCUAAAUCGGUAAAUAGACACCUCUACUUCUGCUGGAGACACAACCAUGGCUCUGAGUUAACUGAGAAAAGGCACAAUGCACACAGUAGGAAAAUAUUCAGCUUAGUGGUUUUGGCUUAAGCAGAGAGCAUUUCUCUCAUGCCAAUAGCCUUUCAGAGCUGACUUCAGCAGGCACCUCCUGGUUGUACCUCAACAUGAGCUUCAGCUCAGGGAAAAACUCUCUAGGGGAAUAAAGAAGGCAUUCAGCCCCACCAGCAGCUGGUAAAGUUCACAUCAUGAACUGCCUCAACCCGCCUGCUCUGGCCUCCCUGGGUUGUAAAUUGGCAAGAGCUGAGACAGUGGUGACGAACGAUGACCACAAUGAACAGGCACUUCUUACUUUCUUAUGCUUGACAAAGUACCUACUCACCAGCCACAUACCCAUGAGGAAGGGACUUUUAAUAAGUUUCUCAGAAAGAAAUAUACUCCUGCAGAUUCAUUAAACAAAUAUUACUCUCUCCUUUUGAUUUCUUUUUACUCCCUUUGAAAUAUGUGGGAAUUUGCCAAAAGCAGGGAAACUUUAGGUGGGACCAUGCUUUCCUUCCCUGAAUGCCCUCAGGAAAAAUUACUCAGGG
rnacentral:lncRNA from 1 species